CUCGCCGCCAUCCUCCACAUCUUCCUCAAACUUUAGCCACCUGAAGAAAGACAAAGAGGACAUCGGUGAAACCAAGACACAGUUUAGACAAGAUCUCAUCCAGCUCUGUGAACAACUCGUGGGCCACAUGCUCAGCAUCUUCCUCAGUUCCCAGAAUGAACUGCACCCGCUGGGACGGCGUGUCUGAUAAAGUGACAACACGGUGUCUUCUCGUUUCCUUGGCUUUCUCGCACUGUAAUGCUUCCCGUCCUCCUGUCUUUCUUACGAUGCCGAGAGCCAUGAGGCUUGUGGU